rnacentral:tRNA from 2 species
GGAGCCGUAGCCAAGUGGUAAGGCAGAGGUCUGCAAAACCUCCAUUCCCCGGUUCAAAUCCGGGCGGCUCCU